rnacentral:rRNA from 1 species
UUACUGGGCGUAAAGCGCGCGUAGGCGGUUUAUUAAGUGGGAUGUGAAAGCCCCGGGCUUAACCUGGGAACUGCAUUCCAAACUGAUAGACUAGAGUACGAUAGAGGGGGUAGAAUUCAGAGUGUAGCGGUGAAAUGCGUAGAUAUUCUGAGGAAUACCGGUGGCGAAGGCGACUCACUGGACCAAUACUGACACUGAGGUACGAAAGCGUGGGUAGCAAACAGGAUUAGAUACCCUGGUAGUCCACGCCGUAAACGAUGUCUACUAGCCGUUGGGGUCCUUGAGACCUUAGUGGCGCAGCUAACGCACUAAGUAGACCGCCUGGGGAGUACGGUCGCAAGAUUAAAACUCAAAUGAAUUGACGGGGGCCCGCACAAGCGGUGGAGCAUGUGGUUUAAUUCGAUGCAACGCGAAAAACCUUACCUACUCUUGACAUACUAGAAACUUUUCAGAGAUGAAUUGGUGCCUUCGGGAAUCUAGAUACAGGUGCUGCAUGGCU